UUAAGGAAUGUGUGUCUACAGAAUCUGAAAAUCUUCAACAGGAUGAUUCCAGUUUCAAGGAUGUUUGCCAGCUCAUACUUGAUGCAGGAACUUGCUCAAACUUUUCAGUGAAAUGGUACUUCAACGUCAGCAGUGGUGAAUGUGUCCAGUUCUGG